GAUGAACGCUGGCGGCGUGCCUAAUACAUGCAAGUCGAGCGAACGGACGAGAAGCUUUCUUCUUUGAUGUUAGCGGCUGACGGGUGAGUAACACGUGGAUCACCUACCUAUAAUACUGGGAUAACUUCGGGAAACCGGAGCUAAUACCGGAUAAUAUUUUGAACCGCAUGGUUCAAAAGUGAAAGACGGUCUUGCUGUCACUUUUAGCUGGAUUCGCGCUGCAUUAGCUAGUUGGUAAGGUAACGGCUUACCAAGGCAACGAUGCAUAGCCGACCUGAGAGGGUGAUCGGCCACACUGGAACUGAGACACGGUCCAGACUCCUACGGGAGGCAGCAGUAGGGAAUAUUCCGCAAUGGGCAAAAGCCUGACGGAGCAACGCCGCGUGAGUGAUGAAGGUCUUCGGAUCGUAAAACUCUGUUAUUAGGGAAGAACAUAUGUGUAAGUAACUGUGCACAUCUUGACGGUACCUAAUCAGAAAGCCACGGCUAACUACGUG
rnacentral:rRNA from 1 species